rnacentral:rRNA from 1 species
CGGGAAGAGCUCAAAUUUAAAAUCUGGCGGUGUAAGCCGUCCGAGUUGUAAUCUGGAGAAGUGUUUUCUGUGUCGGACCGUGUACAAGUCUCUUGGAAUAGAGCGUCAUAGAGGGUGAGAAUCCCGUCUUUGACACGGACUACCGAUACUAUGUGAUGCACUCUC